rnacentral:rRNA from 1 species
UACGUAGGGUGCAAGCGUUAAUCGGAAUUACUGGGCGUAAAGCGUGCGCAGGCGGUUUUGUAAGUCUGAUGUGAAAUCCCCGGGCUCAACCUGGGAAUUGCAUUGGAGACUGCAAGGCUAGAAUCUGGCAGAGGGGGGUAGAAUUCCACGUGUAGCAGUGAAAUGCGUAGAGAUGCGGAGGAACACCGAUGGCGAAGGCAGCCCCCUGGGCCAAUACUGACGCUCAGGCACGAAAGCGUGGGGAGCAAACAGG